rnacentral:lncRNA from 1 species
UUUUUUUCUUAAUUAUGGAUUAAACUUCAAAUACCCCCUGUAAUUUCACACUUUUUCACUUUAGUAUCCUAUGAUUUAAAGUGUAUCAAGUUAGUAUCCUAUGAUUUCGCACUUUCUCAAUUUAGUACCAUGUGGUUUCAAGUGUAUCAAGUUAGUACCAUAUGGUUUCCCACUUUCUCACUUUAGUACCCUAUGGUUUAAUAUUUCGUUAAAUUAUAAUCCCGAAAUAGAUAAUAAAAAGAGAAAAUUAAAACCACAUGACACUAAAUUGAUACAAAAAUGAAACCACGGAUUACUAACUUGAUACACUUGAAACCACAAGGUACUAAAGUGAGAAAGUGCGAAACCACAGGGCACUAGCUUGAUACACUUUAAACCACAGGGUACUAAAGUGAGAAAGUGCAAAAUCAGAGGAGUAUUUGAAGUUUUUCCAAAAAUAUUUAAUAUACCCUACCAAAUAAGGGUUUUUUAAAAGUCAAACAUUCAUAAUUUCUUUCCAUUUUUACUCUUUUUUAGGUGAAAAUGCACGGAGACC